AGGACUCCUUGUUCCAUUUGAGGAAGUAAAAGUCGUAACAAGGUCUCCGUAGGUGAACCUGCGGAGGGAUCAUU
rnacentral:rRNA from 1 species